rnacentral:rRNA from 1 species
UACGUAGGUGACAAGCGUUGUCCGGAUUUACUGGGCGUAAAGAGCGCGCAGGCGGUCGUUCAAGUCGCGUGUGAAAGCCCCCGGCUCAACUGGGGAGGGUCACGCGAUACUGAUCGACUCGAAGGCAGGAGAGGGAAGUGGAAUUCCCGGUGUAGUGGUGAAAUGCGUAGAUAUCGGGAGGAACACCAGUGGCGAAGGCGACUUCCUGGCCUGUUCUUGACUGCUGAG